rfam:Brachypodium distachyon strain Bd21 chromosome 4, whole genome shotgun sequence.
CAACUACUCCCUCCGUUUCAUAAUUCUUGUCGAAAUAUUACAUGUAUCUAGAAAUUUUUUAGUAAUAGAUACAUCCAGUUUUGGACAAAUUUGAGACAAGAAUUAUGCAACGGAGAGGGUACUUG